AUCUAUGGCCAUACUACCCGGCAACGCGGCGGAUCUCGUCGGAAGCUAAGCAGGGUCGGGCCUGGUUAGUACUUGGAUGGGAGACCACAUGGCAAGGCGCUUCUCAAGGAAG
rnacentral:rRNA from 1 species